GACGAACGCUGGCGGCGUGCUUAACACAUGCAAGUCGAACGGAAAGGCCCUGCUUUUGUGGGGUGCUCGAGUGGCGAACGGGUGAGUAACACGUGAGUAACCUGCCCUUGACUUUGGGAUAACUUCAGGAAACUGGGGCUAAUACCGGAUAGGAGCUCCCGCUGCAUGGUGGGGGUUGGAAAGUUUCGGCGGUUGGGGAUGGACUCGCGGCUUAUCAGCUUGUUGGUGGGGUAGUGGCUUACCAAGGCUUUGACGGGUAGCCGGCCUGAGAGGGUGACCGGCCACAUUGGGACUGAGAGACGGCCCAGACUCCAACGGGAGGCAGCAGUGGGGAAUAUUGCACAAUGGGCGGAAGCCUGAUGCAGCAACGCCGCGUGCGGGAUGACGGCCUUCGGGUUGUAAACCGCUUUCGCCUGUGACGAAGCGUGAUUGACGGUAAUGGGUAAAGAAGCACCGGCUAACUACGUG
rnacentral:rRNA from 1 species